rnacentral:tmRNA from 1 species
UCACUUCACAUUAAUCGAGCGGGGCCUAUAUAGAGACCGCUCGUUUUUGCGGGCUAUGGCGAUAAAUUGCAGCGUGCAAUAGGCGCAACGGACCCGGGGGCAGUACCCGGCGUCUCCACCACAAAUCUCGGGAAACCGGGGCUUUUGACGGGGACGAACUAGGAUCGACGUGGGCUGAAAAGCGGUGUUUUUGCCCGGGCUGAGUAACCCGUAAAACUGUUCAAAACUCAUAAGUGCAAACGAUAACGAAGCACUCGCAAUCGCAGCGUAAUCUGACGGGCUAACGCCCUGAUCUUACAAAGCUAAAGCGCGGUUGGACCCACCGGGCAACAGAAGCGGAUUCCG